GAUGAAGAACGCAGCGAAAUGCGAUAAGUAAUGUGAACUGCAGAAUUCAGUGAAUCAUCGAAUCUUUGAACGCACAUUGCGCCCAUUAGUAUUCUAGUGGGCAUGCCUGUUCGAGCGUCAUUUCAACCCUUAAGCCCCUGUUGCUUAGCGUUGGGAGCCUACAGCCUGCUGUAGUUCCUCAAAGUUAGUGGCGGAGUCAGUUCACACUCUAGACGUAGUAAAAUCUUUAUCUCGCCUAUAGAUGAGCUGGCGCCUUGCCGUAAAAACCCCUAAUCUUUUACAAGGUUGACCUCGGAUCAGGUAGGAAUACCCGCUGAACUUAAGCAUAUCAAUAAGCGGAGGA
rnacentral:misc_RNA from 1 species